GAUGAACGCUGGCGGCGUGCCUAAUACAUGCAAGUCGAGCGAACGGACGAGAAGCUUGCUUCUUUGAUGUUAGCGGCGGACGGGUGAGUAACACGUGUAUAACCUACCUAUAAGACUGGGAUAAUUUCGGGAAACCGGAGCUAAUACCGGAUAAUAUUCUGAACCGCAUGGUUCAAAAGUGAAAGACGGUCUUGCUGUCACUUAUAGAUGGAUCCGCGCUGCAUUAGCUAGUUGGUAAGGUAACGGCUUACCAAGGCAACGAUGCAUAGCCGACCUGAGAGGGUGAUCGGCCGCACUGGAACUGGGACACGGUCCUGGCUCCUACGGGAGGCAGCAGUAGGGAAUCUUACGCAGUGGGCGAGAGCCUGACGGAGCAACGCCGCGUGAGUGAUGAAGGUCUUCGGAUCGUAAAACUCUGUUAUUAGGGAAGAACAUAUGUGUAAGUAACUGUGCACAUCUUGACGGUACCUAAUCAGAAAGCCACGGCUAACUACGUG
rnacentral:rRNA from 1 species